UUUUUUUUUUUUUUUUUAAUCAUUUUUUGGUUAUGCCAGGUGUCUCCUGUGUGUCCCUCCAGAUCCCUCUCCAGCCCUAGAAACCUGAGCUCUAUAAAUGUUGCCUCUCUCCACUCAUCUUCUCUUUGGCUUCAGGUUGAGUUCAGCCAACAGAUGCCCCUGUAGGAUUUGGACACAGGGAGCCAGGGGAGAGGGGCAUCAGCUGCCUGGUUAGCAGGGCUGUGAUGAUUCUUCUACCUAUGACUCUCAGUGCUGUUGCCUCUUCCUCUGGAUCUUGGAAGCUUCCAUGCUGAGGUCUGAAGGUUCCCAUGGCUGUCUCUUUGCCCAAGGGGCAAACUUUCCAUCAGGGCAUCUUCUGUGCCUCUGAGGAUCAUUUUCCAAUUAUAGGCAAUGGUAGUACGUGUUUCAGUGCAGAAUGAGAUAGAGUUGUUUAAUUUGACAAUAAAGCGAUGCGUCAAAAACCUCAGUCAACACAGUAAGUGUUUUCUUGUUUUCCUGCUGACCAACCUAAUUCUGGUUUCAUACAGGGCAGCCAGGUGCCCACCUAAAAGACUGCACUUCUCAACUUCCAGUUGUUUCUAUGGAUAAUGGUUGGAAGCAGAAAUUGGGUUGGGGCUUCCAGAUAAUCCCCCCUCACAGGGACUGCUUCAAGAGAAAGGGAUGCCCUUUGGUUCUUUCUCCUUUCCACUGCCUGGAAUGUGAUGUCUGACACUGUGGCAGCCAUACUGGCAUAAUGAGGCCAACUCUCUGCCAUGCUAAGAGUGGCAGAGCUGGGAAUUGAAAAGAGCCUGCUAGCCUUGGGUUGCUUCCCCUUGAUCGGCUCAUUACUUGGAAGAGAACACACCCUUCUCUUAUUAUUUUCUUUAAGGCAUUCUUUUUCCGCAGCAUCUGUUACCAGCAGC
rnacentral:lncRNA from 10 species